UACGGAGGGUGCAAGCGUUAUCCGGAUUCACUGGGUUUAAAGGGUGCGUAGGUGGGCAGGUAAGUCAGUGGUGAAAUCUCCGGGCUUAACCCGGAAACUGCCGUUGAUACUAUUUGUCUUGAAUAUUGUGGAGGUAAGCGGAAUAUGUCAUGUAGCGGUGAAAUGCUUAGAUAUGACAUAGAACACCAAUUGCGAAGGCAGCUUACUACACAAUGAUUGACACUGAGGCACGAAGGCGUGGGGAUCAAACAGG
rnacentral:rRNA from 1 species